rnacentral:lncRNA from 1 species
GGGGUCUUACUCUAUGCAGCAAGAUGAGGGAAGAUUAAUCUUUAAAGCCUAGAUUGCAUUUUACUUUUUUCCAAGACAGUCGGCUUGGAGACACUUCAAGGCACGUACAAGAUGUCGUUGACAGAUAAACACCACUUGUCAGCUUUACCUUCUGCCUUACAAUGACCCAAAGAGUGGCAUUACUGUGUAAGCAAUACAUGCCCCAUGGUGUCCUAUAGCAGUCACAGUGUUUCCUUUCUGACAGUAAAUUCCAGCGCACUGAGGCACUCUGCACCAAAGUCAAGAGCAAGUCCAUAGGUCAGGGCAGCAGACAAAACAGCAGGAAGAAGGAGAGCAGUUUCUUUCUUUCGACUGCUUUGGUGAAUCAAUCAGAAUAAAUAUAUAUAUAUAUAUAAUAUAAGGGAUGCUAAGAAAGGAAAAGUGAUGGGAAUUUUGCCAUUGACUUCAAGAGAGCCAAAGCUUAUUUCACUCUGUUUUUAAGAGGAAACUUGAAAGAGGAAUCUGCAACCAGGAGAGGAAAGAGACAUUGCAGCCCAGAUUUUUGUUCUUACUUCCACAGGUGAAAUUGGAAGCUACUACUCACCUGAGCUAUGCCUAGGCAGCCAGUGGCAGUCCACACCUUGCCCUGCCCAGAAGGAACCAGCCAUGGUCCAAGACUGUCAGUCACAAUGCUUCUUCCUCUUGAGAUUCACACCAUGAAUUGUUCCUGCAGGCAUUUUGGCCAAGUCAGCUGGAUGGUACUCAACACCCCUCUACUUCUGCCUUCUCACAGAGCAACUGUGGAUUUGUCAGAGACGUCAGAGGAAGAAUUCUCAAGAGGAAAAGAUAUUAAUAUGACAACGAUCUGCAAUGGAAGGGGAGUGGGAUGCUGA